GGGGAUUUAGCUCAGUGGCAUAAGUGCCUGCCUGUUAAGCACGAGGUCGUGAGUUCAAUCCCCA
rfam:Cavia porcellus supercont2_118 genomic scaffold, whole genome shotgun sequence.